AUCUGCAGUUGAACACAUUUCGUUUAUUUUGCAAACGGCGAAAAUGCCCCGUUACAUUCCUCCAGCCAUCGUCACACGUAUCUAUACUUCCUUGAGGAAGUUAACUUAAUUUUUAACCUGGCAUAUCAACCAGGGCGGUUUAAUGGGAGCCUUCAUUUCUCUAUCGCGGACCAUGCCAGAGUCAAGGCGCCAAACACACUGGUCACUCGCACCCGCCCAGCAAGAAUUUUUCAACAUCCCUAUGUUGUCCCAUAUGGCAGUGUGGCAAAACGAAAAUGCUACCGUAGAAAAAAACAUGCUUUAAGCGAUACCGAUGUUCAGUCGCGAACGUGAUCUUCUAAGGCUGUCAAUCCGCUUUGAAGAGCCAACCUCCCGCAUUCUAUUUAUUUCCUUAUUGGGAGGAACGAUUUAUUGUUGGAACUCCGAAAGACCCGAAAAGGCUAUAGCUAUAGCGCCCCUCUCCCUUCUUUUUGCUUUAGCCGUUUUGAUUUUGAUUGAAAAUGCUUAGAUUUUAUUUGUUACUUCUUACAGUAUCUUCUUCUGCCUUCUCGGGCAACUGUGAAUAUGCUUGAAAUGUGAAGACGCCUCGAACGACGAUUGUUUUCGGAGCAACGAGAUGUAUGAUGGAGAAUGGGGCAGCAGGGCUGUCGGCGGCAAUACCGGCAGUUUUAACGGUUAAUCAAAAGGCCCGCGUCCCUAGCCGCGUUCUUGACAGCGUCUAGUUCGUUAUCAUUGAUCGCACGAUUGAUUUCCGCAUACCGAAUCUCUUGGCCACCAGUUUUUCCUCGUCGCCUCUUGCCAACGUGAGCAUCGGGAUGAUACUGCUCCAUAAUAUGAAUAUAUAAAUCCUUCGAUACAUUCUCAGCCAGCCAACGCACGAUCUCCCGCCCUUCAUCUUCCAUCCCUGGCAUUACUAGAUGUCGAAGGAGCACCCCACGUUUCGCAAUACCGUCAGAGGUAAACCUCAAAUCCCCAACUUGUGCAUGCAUCGCUUUGAUGCUCUCCAUCGCCGUUUCAGUAUAGUUAUCUGCCUUCAAGAGCCGCUUGGAAGAACUGGUCUUCCAGACUUUGAAAUCUGGAAGGUAUAUAUCGAUGAGACCGUCUAGUAGAGCUAUGGAUUCUAAAGAGUCAAAUGCAGACGUAUUGUAUAUGAUAGGUAUUUUGAGACCCAUGUCCGCAGCGGUGAGGAUCGCCAGAGCCACCUGUGGAACUACAUGUUCCGGGGUGACAAAGUUGAUAUUGUGGACCUGCCCUACGUUCUGUAAUUUUAACAUCCACUCUGCCAACUCCUCUGGUGUUAGAUUAAAUCCAUUACGUUGGUGUGAAAUGUCCUGUGGUAUGUGCAUUGUUAGCCAAUGUUCAACGUGUCCGGCGAGCGGGAUCAAGCCUCCAGAAAGGAAUAUACAACGAACGUGGUUUUGACAAAAUGUGCAUCUCAAGUUGCACAUCGAGAAGAACACUGAGCCGCUCCCUCUUGACCCCUGAAUGCAUGGCUCUUCUCCGAAAUGCGGCGCAAUCACAUUGACUUUCACAGUCUCUCCAGGUAUUAGACAAUAACCUGUCUUUUCGUACCGGUUUACUCCGCAUAGUCGGGGGCACAAAUUGCAGUUCCUCAAAUGGGAAUAUGCCUUAGAGCGCUUCUUUGCUGCAUCCACUGAUGAUAAAAGUUGAUGUCGUGGUAUAUAUUCAUCAAGGAGAUAAGGGGGUGCUAGAUGCACUGAGCGGCUUUCGCAAGCACGGCUGAGAACAGGGAAGGGUCGCGUUAGAGUUUUGAGGGCCAAAGGUAUAGGCCUCAGUGGCAUUUUAGAAGAACUUCAUGCCUCAUGUGAUAUGUUUUGUAUU
rnacentral:sRNA from 1 species